rnacentral:rRNA from 1 species
UACGUAGGGUGCAAGCGUUGUCCGGAAUUAUUGGGCGUAAAGAGCUCGUAGGCGGUCUGUCGCGUCUGCUGUGAAAACUCAGGGCUUAACCCUGAGCUUGCAGUGGGUACGGGCAGACUAGAGUGCGGUAGGGGAGACUGGAAUUCCUGGUGUAGCGGUGAAAUGCGCAGAUAUCAGGAGGAACACCGGUGGCGAAGGCGCUCUGCUAGGCCGCAACUGACAGCUG